rnacentral:rRNA from 1 species
CGAACGGUAACAGGGAUUAGCUUGCUAAUUUGCUGACGAGUGGCGGACGGGUGAGUAAUGCUUGGGAAUCUAGCUUAUGGAGGGGGAUAACUACGGGAAACUGUAGCUAAUACCGCGUAAAAUCUUCGGAUUAAAGGGUGGGACUUUCGGGCCACCUGCCAUAAGAUGAGCCCAAGUGGGAUUAGGUAGUUGGUUAGGUAAAGGCUGACCAAGCCGACGAUCUCUAGCUGGUCUGAGAGGAUGACCAGCCACACUGGAACUGAGACACGGUCCAGACUCCUACGGGAGGCAGCAGUGGGGAAUAUUGCACAAUGGGGGGAACCCUGAUGCAGCCAUGCCGCGUGAAUGAAGAAGGCCUUCGGGUUGUAAAGUUCUUUCGGUGACGAGGAAGGUUGAUAGGUUAAUAGCCUAUCAAAUUGACGUUAAUCACAGAAGAAGCACCGGCUAACUCCGUGCCAGCAGCCGCGGUAAUACGGGGGGUGCGAGCGUUAAUCGGAAUAACUGGGCGUAAAGGGCACGCAGGCGGUGACUUAAGUGAGAUGUGAAAGCCCCGGGCUUAACCUGGGAAUUGCAUUUCAUACUGGGUCGCUAGAGUACUUUAGGGAGGGGUAGAAUUCCACGUGUAGCGGUGAAAUGCGUAGAGAUGUGGAGGAAUACCGAAGGCGAAGGCAGCCCCUUGGGAAUGUA